AACGUGUCGCGAUGGAAUGACUUGG
rnacentral:rRNA from 1 species